rnacentral:rRNA from 1 species
CUCUCGGCAACGGAUAUCUUGGCUCUCGCAUCGAUGAAGAACGUAGCGAAAUGCGAUACUUGGUGUGAAUUGCAGAAUCCCGUGAACCAUCGAGUCUUUGAACGCAAGUUGCGCCCGAGGCUAUCCGGCCGAGGGCACGCCUGCCUGGGCGUCACGCCUCGCGUCGCUCCGUG